CCGUGGGAAUGUCACGUCGCCGUGUGGCCGUCUAGUCACCAGGGUUGACCUCGCUCUCGGCGGGACAAUGCCCCUGGGGAACUGUGCCGCAUGUCCGUGUCAGAGCUGACAAGGUCUGGCGACUGUACGGCGAUGGGAGGAGACGGCCGACCCUUGGUCGGUGGCCAGCAGAGUGGCGUCGGGUUCCUCCGUCAGUCGGCGAGUUUCAUGUGAGUCGGCCUCUGGGUCUGGUCGGUCGGGAAGGAUACGCCCGACAUACCUCCAGUCGGCGAUUGGGCCAUCGAAAAGCCGUCGGUAGCGUCCGUUAGUCGGUCACCCCCGGCUUUCAGUCGAGGUCGGUCGGUCGGGCCGCCAGCCGGUCGGGCCCUCCGAUAGUCGGUCGGUGGGUUUCCCCCAAC
rnacentral:lncRNA from 1 species